UACGGAGGGUGCAAGCGUUAAUCGGAAUACUGGCGUAAAGCGCACGCAGGCGGUUUGUUAAGUUCAGAUGUGAAAUCCCCGGGCUCAACCUGGGAACUGCAUCUGAUACUGGCAAGCUUGAGUCUCGUAGAGGGGGGUAGAAUUCCAGGUGUAGCGGUGAAAUGCGUAGAGAUCUGGAGGAAUACCGGUGGCGAAGGCGGCCCCCCUGGACGAAGACUGACGCUCGGUGCGAAAGCGUGGGGAGCAAACAGGAUUAGAUACCCCGGUAG
rnacentral:rRNA from 1 species